ACUUUGAUCUAAUGGUUAAAAUUUUACAUAUAAAUGAAUUUUUUUAUAAUUGAGCUUGGCUUUAUUAUUUUUUUGCCAAAAAUUAAAUAAUAAAAAUAUAUAUAUUACGUAUAAUUAUUUAUUUACAUAUAUAAAUAUAUAUAAAUAAAAAUUAAAUAAAUUAUAUAUAUAUAUAAAUAUAAAAUAUAUGUAUUCGAUGUGUUAUCGAGUGGUACACGAACGAGUUGAGCUCGGCUCCUGUUCAGCUCGUGUUCGGCUUGUUUACUAAACGAGCGAUUCGACCUCGAGCUCAUUUCGAGCCGAACACGAACUGGCUCGCGAGUAGCAAGCUGAAUUGCGGCCACCUGCAAAUAUGUCACAACCUGUAAUUUACUUAUAUCAUCAUGAAAGAUCAAUCAACUAAUUUAUAACAUUCCAAUAUCAUCAAUCACUUUUUUCAGUGGUUGCAUGAUGAGCGACUAAUGAUUAAUCUUGAGAAAAAGGGCCAAAAAAGAAAAAAGAAAAAAAGUUGCAUGUCGGUUUAAAUUGGGUCACACACGAGUCGAGCUCAAGUGUCCAACAGGUCCAUGUUAAACCUAUGAUCAAUUGUACGGCUCACAUUGAUUCAAAAUUAUAAAUUUAUUUUUUUACUUUUUUUUUCAAGUUUUUGACAUCUUCGAUUUAAGAAGAUGACAUAUUUUAUAUAAAAAAUAAUUUUAAAAUAGAAUAUUGUAUGUCAAUUGAGACAUUUAAUCACGCUUUUCACAUACUAAAUACUACAAAAAUUGGUUAGUAAAUUUAAAAAAUAUAUAUUAAAUAAGAUAUUCAUGCAUUCGAAUAAAAUCUUAAACAGUUGAUUAAUCGAAUCUUCAACCUUACAACUAGUGAUUCAAAAAGAAAUUCACAAGGAACAAGUAGAAAGAUAAUUACAUAAUA
rnacentral:lncRNA from 1 species